AGGGACCUCCUUCAUCCAACUGGAAAAGCUGUGCAAGGCCAUGCAACUCCAGAUAUUUCAGUAUGACACCUUCAGAAGGCAUGCAAGGAAUUACAUGGAACUGGCUAUUGUUGGAAGAUGGCUCAGCAGAGUCAUUUCCAGCAUCAAUUGUACCUUGGUGGGGUGGUUGCAGUGGGAGGAGACAUGAGGGCUGAUUCUCCAGGGCACUCAGCAAAGUUUGGCAGCUACACACUAAUGAAUCUGGAGAGCAACACCAUUAAGGACAUCCAACUUGUUCAGAGCAAUGAAGUAGGUGGCAGCUAUCAUAUGGAGAAGGAAG